rnacentral:rRNA from 1 species
CUUUACUCUAGCUUGGCACUGAGUCGUACAUAUAUUUGUGCAGGAUAGGUGGGAGACUAUGAAAGAUGGACGCCAGUUCAUCUCGAGUCGUCGUUGAGAUACCACCCUUGUAUACGUAUGCCUCUAACCCCUUUUUGGGGGACCGUGCUUGGUGGGGAGUUUAACUGGGGCGGUUGCCUCCUAAAACGUAACGGAGGCGCACAAAGGUAGGCUAGGUCCGGAUGGAAAUCGGACUGGUCGUGUAUUCGCACAAGCCUGCUUGACUGAGAGACCUACAAGUCGAUCAGAGACGAAAGUCGGUGAAAGUGAUCCGGCACCAACAUGUGGGAGUGGUGUCGCUCAACGGAUAAAAGUUA